rnacentral:misc_RNA from 1 species
GAUGAAGAACGUAGCGAAAUGCGAUAAGUAAUGUGAAUUGCAGAAUUCAGUGAAUCAUCGAAUCUUUGAACGCACAUUGCGCCGGCCAGUAGUCUGGCGGGCAUGCCUGUUCGAGCGUCAUUUCAACCCUCAAGACCCCUUCGGGGGACUUGGUGUUGGGGACCGGCACAGGGGCCUGCCUGCUUGUCUUGCAGCGCCCUCGCCGCCCCCGAAAUGAAUUGGCGGCCUCGUCGCGGCCUCCCCUGCGUAGUAGCACAAACCUCGCAUCGCGAACGUGACGGCGGCCACUGCCGUAAAACAACCCAAUUUUAUUAGAGUUGACCUCGAAUCGGGUAGGAAUACCCGCUGAACUUAAGCAUAUCAAUAAGCGGAGGA